rnacentral:rRNA from 1 species
AAGGGGAGCAAUCCCUGAGUACAGUGGCGCACGGGUGAGUAACACGUGAAUUAUCUACCUCCGAGUGGGGAAUAACUGAGAGAAAUCUUAGCUAAUACCGCAUAACACUUACGAGUCAAAGCAGCAAUGCGCUUGGAGAGGAGUUCGCGGCCGAUUAGUUAGUUGGCGGGGUAAUGGCCCACCAAGACGAUGAUCGGUAUCCGGCCUGAGAGGGCGCACGGACACACUGGAACUGAAACACGGUCCAGACUCCUACGGGAGGCAGCAGUGGGGAAUUUUGCGCAAUGGGGGAAACCCUGACGCAGCAACGCCGCGUGGAGGAUGAAAUAUCUUGGUAUGUAAACUCCUUUCGAUGGGGAAGAUUAUGACGGUACCCAUAGAAGAAGCCCCGGCUAACUUCGUGCCAGCAGCCGCGGUAAUACGAGGGGGGCAAGCGUUGUUCGGAUUUAUUGGGCGUAAAGGGUGCGUAGGCGGUUUGGCAAGUCUGAUGUGAAAUCUAUGGGCUCAACCCAUAGUCUGCAUCAGAAACUGCCGGGCUUGAGUAUGGGAGAGGUGAGUGGAAUUUCCGGUGUAGCGGUGAAAUGCGUAGAUAUCGGAAGGAACACCUGUGGCGAAAGCGGCUCACUGGACCAUAACUGACGCUGAUGCACGAAAGCUAGGGGAGCAAACAGGAUUAGAUACCCUGGUAGUCCUAGCCCUAAACGAUGAUUGCUUGGUGUGGCAGGUACCCAAUCCUGCCGUGCCGAAGCUAACGCGAUAAGC